rnacentral:lncRNA from 1 species
UUCAAUCAAGUAGUCUCCAUCUCCAUCACCAAUAUCAUCAUUGUCAAUUUUCAGUAUCCAAUUACUGAAUUGAAAAAUAUCUUGAACAUUUAUGAUAGAAUUUUCACCAUUCACUAAUCUCAUAUUAGUUUGUAAUUUGAAUAUAUGAUAAUGGUUCUAUAAAUACGAUCUUUAAGAACAACAAGCAAAAUCUAUCUAAAAUCUCCACCA